GGAGGGGGAAGACUUAACCUGUGGUGUGCUGAGCCAGCGUUGGCAUGAUCGGCCACAGUCGUGACCACGGCUGAUGACAGCCGAAGACCGUCCUCCUCCCGAUCAUCUCCUUCACAUUUUUAGUCGGACCCUAACCUAGCACUCCAUGGAUCCGGCCUUAAUACAUCCUUAAACCUUCCUCUCACCCUUCCUCUCAGUAGGCGGACUUAAGCUCCAUUUCUCCCACUAAGGAAGAAGGGGAAGAGGAGAGGUCAAGAAUGGAGAGAAGAGGAAGUCCGGUGAUGGUGGUCCUAGAUUUGGUAGUCGGAGACUUCGAAGAGGGAGGAUCGGGGCGACCUGAGGCCUUUGUUCCUCUCGGAGGUAACCGAGCCUCCAUCUUCCCCACCGGAGAUGGAGGAGAGGAGUGGCCAGCCGAGUCGUGGCUGCCGCCGGCCGGACCACGGCCGCCGCAGGCGUCGCUGGUCGGCCGCAGCGCCGCCGGCUUCGGGUCGGCCUCCUCCCGAGCGUCCCACGAGCCUCCUCGCUUCAUGUGAGAAGAGGAGAAGAGGGGAAGGAGAUUGGGACGGGAAGAAGAAAGAAGGAGAAGAAGGUUCGGGAAGGGAGGAGAAGAGAAGAAAAAGAUAGAAAAAGAAGAAAGAAAAGAAAAAGAAAAGAAAAGAAAAGAAAAGAAAAAAAAAGGAAGGAAAAGAAAAGAAGAAAGAAAAAUAAAAUAAAAAUUACUGUGGGCUGAAUUGAGCUUGAUUUCGGGUUGGGCUUCAAAUAAAUCUGGCUUAAGGAGCCCGAGACCGGGCUAGGCCCUGGUCUGAGCCCAAUAAUCUUAAACCCAGUAAUUGGGUCAGACUUGAACCAGUAUGCAAUUGAUCCAGAUCUGAACCAGAAUUUGGGUCAGAUCUGAACCAGUAUGCAAUUGACCCAGACUUGAACCAGAAAUUGGGUCAGAUCUGAACCAGUAUGCAAUUGACCCAGACCUGAAUCAGANNNNNNNNNNNNNNNNNNNNGGGGUCAGAUCUAAACCAGUAUGCAACUGACUUAGACCUGAACCAGAAUUGGGUCAGAUAUGAACCUGUAUGUAAUUGACCCAGACCUGAACCAGAAAUUGGGUCAGAUCUGAACCAGUAUGCAAUUGACUCAGACUUGAACCAGAAAUUGGUUUAGAUCUGAACCAGUAUGCAAUUGACCCAGACCUGAACCAGAAAUGGAAUCAAAUCCGAACCAG
rnacentral:lncRNA from 1 species